GAGAUGGUUGGAUGGCAUCACCGACUCAAUGGACAAGUUUGAGCAAGCUCAUGGAGAUAGUGAAGGACAGGGAAGCCUGGUGUGCUUCAGUCCUUGGGGUUGCAAAGAGUCAGACACGACUGAGCUGCUGAACCACCACCACCACCACAAAGAUCAGCCAUAAUAGCAAAACACCAAGGUGAACACGAUGAAGUCAACCCCGCAGCGGCGGGGCCUCACUCACUGCCGCACGCCCUGGUAACUGAGACGGUGUGGGGCUGGAAGAGAGGGGAGGAGGGUGAGCGCCGGGCUCCCAGGCGCCGCCCCCGCUCUCCUCUCCCCGCUCCACAAGACGGGCCAUCUGGCUCUCAGGAUGGGGGCGGGUGCGCUGCCGUGACAGCUCCACCGUCACUUCAGGAGGCUCGUCACUUCAGGAGGCUCGUCACGGCGGAGGGGACAGCCGUCCCUGCUUGAUGCCCCAGGGCUUUGUGAAGGCUCCUCGUUGAGCUCAGAAGACAGCUCCACGGGACACUGCUAAAUCAUUAAUUCCAAAUCCAGCAUCCCAGGGCUCUGGAAGGUCUCCCCCCUUCUUGCUGGUCACUUCACUCCCAUCCCGACCAGGAGGUGUAGCUGGGCGGCUCACUUGGGAUGUCCUUCAUGGUGAAGCUUCUCUGUGCUGGAGACAGAGAUCCCACUGACCCGACAUUCGACUCCCCCACCUCCCCUCCCCGCUAGCCCCAUUCAGCUCAGAAAGACCUCCCAGAGCCCUGCACAGAACUGCAGCCUGGGUGCUGCACACACACCCAACAUCCCCCUGGCUCCAGAAAACAACCUGAAAGCCAGCUCUCUGACCUUCUGAGUGAGGGGAAGUCGGGGCUGGAUGAGGGGUAGCCAUGCACACCACGCCCAUCUAGCUUCAAAGAUCCGGGAACCCUACGGCAUAUUCUGGGCGGGAACUCGGGUUCUCUCUCGUACCUUGUCUAGAGGUACCUUGGACUAGAGAAGCAUAAAUGAACGCUUUUCAGUGAACCAAAAGGAUGUGGAAGGAAACCAGUUCCUCCCCCCUCCCCCAAUAUAGUUCAGCUUAAGUUUCAAGAAUUUUAAUCAUUGAGUUGAGGACAGAAUUAAUACUAAGUAAAGCUGUGACCUGGGAUAUUUACAGGGCUUCAGAGGUUAAUGUCAUUUCACUAGCAGCUGGGGACUCAGAUCCCAGAAGAGGCUCUAGGCAGGUGGGAAGCAUGGGGGCUGUUCUGUUGGUCUUUAGAAUAAAAUUCACGACACAGUGGCUGUCUUAGUGGGGAUUUACAAAAGCUAAUGGUUUUCCCAAUAAGACGUCCAAUCAAGGUCCGUCUAGUCAAGGCUAUGGUUUUUCCAGUGGUCAUGUAUGG
rnacentral:lncRNA from 1 species